CCGAAAGGCAGGAGUGCCCGCAAGGGAGCGCGGAGACAGGUGGUGCAUGGCUGUCGUCAGCUCGUGUCGUGAGAUGUUGGGUUAGGUCCCGCAACGAGCGUAACCCUCACCCCUUGUUGCUACCAGGUAAAGCUGGGCACUCUAGGGGAACUGCCCCGGUCAACGGGGAGGAAGGCGGGGAUGACGUCAAGUCAUCAUGCCCCUUACGUCCUGGGCUACACACGUGCUACAAUGGCCGGUACAAAGGGAUGCCACACCGUGAGGUAGAGCUAAACCCAAAAAGCCGGUCUAAGUUCAGAUUGGAGUCUGCAACUCGACUCCAUGAAGGAGGAAUCGCUAGUAAUCGCGUAUCAGCACGACGCGGUGAAUACGUUCCCGGGCCUUGUAUACACCGCCCGUCACACCACGAAAGCCAG
rnacentral:rRNA from 1 species